GUACAAAAUCCCACCACCACUAAACGCCGUUGCCAGCUCGUCCUUUUCGGCUUCGCCACCGCAACUCUAGCCAGUGAUGGCGGCUUAUGGUGCAGCGGCUUCUCUUAAGAGUACGAUUCAACAUAUUCUACAAUCGUCUCGGAUUUCGCUGGUUCCUCCCUCUCCACAAGUCUUACAACCAACGUACGAGGCCAUGGUUCGCUUGCAGAAAGUUCUGAAAAAAUUGGACGGGACGAGCUGCAGCAAGAUCAGGACGAAGGUGAAUGCUUUGGAUGACCGAAUCAAAGAGGUCAUAUGGGAAUUUGAAGAUUUACUAGAAUCUCUUUUCACGGAUCAGAUUCUUCCACAACUAAAGGGCUCCGGAGGUCUCUUGGCUUUCUCUCUAGAUCUGCAGAGUCUGCGGGAGAGUGUUGAUUGCUUCGUUGAGAGGGUGAAGGUGAUGCAGGCGGAGUACGAUAUUGAACUGUUGAAUAUGCCCGAAGAAGAAGGCCAACCUGUUUCCUCAAGAAUUGAUUGUCGUGGAAUCAACUCUGAGAUGGUUGGACCAUCUCAACCAUUUAGACGAGUGAGGGGUCAUCUGAGACGCCGGUUAGAAUUCAAAGAUGAUUCUAAGAAUUGGUUAGUGGUUACUGGGAUGGCAGGGGUUGGAAAGACAACUCUUGUAAAGAAAGUGUUUGAGGAUCCCGUGAUUCAGAGACAUUUCGAGCUUCGAGCAUGGGUCAAAGUAGGCAGAAAGUGUGAAUCCAAUGAAAUAUUACGAUGCAUUCUAGCUCAACUAGAUCCCAACACUCAUGAGCAAAUGUCUGACAACAAGAAAUUUGUUGGAGUCUUGGAAGAGCGAUGGAAGGAUAAGAAAUGUCUUAUUGUGUUGGACGAUGUAUGGGAAUGGGAUGCACGACUAAUGGAUGACUUGAGAAAAGAGAAUGUCCGAAUCUUGCUUACAAGCAGGAUAAGAAUGGUAGAGUCCCCAAUUCAACAAGUACUCUUGUUGAAUCUUAAAGAUGGUAAGAAAUUACUUUCUGAGAAGGUGUUCGGUGAAGAGGGUUGUCCACCUCACCUUGAUGAAUUGGGAAAGAAGAUUACCAUCAAAUGUGAAGGUCUUCCACUUAUGAUAGUCACAGUUGCUGAGCUGCUUUCUAGAGAAGAAAAGACCACAAAAUAUUGGACUGAGGUGGCUGAAAAACAACAUAAUUCAGUGUUUGUGGAUGCAUAUAAUCAAAUAUCGGAGGUACUUUUCCCAAGCUAUGACCACUUACCUCAAUAUCUAAAACUGUUUUUUCUCUAUUUCGGAUCUUUCCCUCCUUACAAAAAUAUCAUACUAGAACGCUUCAUCAAUCUGUUGAGUGCUGAAGGGUUUCUUGAACCGAAUGUAAAGAAAACUUCACGAGAUUAUAUUAUGGAAUGCUCGAGACAGCUUGAUCGCUAUUAUCAUCUGGUUCUAUUAAACUCACAAAUAGGAUCUUGGUUUUCGCCGAGUGCAUGUCGUGUGCAUUCUUGCUGGCAGCAUUUGUGUAGGAAAGAAGCUAGUAAAAUCAAGUUUCUUCAUGUCUUACAAAGUUACCAUGAUGAUAUGAAAGACCAACGUCGGUUGUGUGCCCAUAGUCACAUGUUGUUUUCAUUGAAACAAGUGCAUGAUUCAAUAAAAAGUGAUUGUGCAUCCACCACCCGUUCUUUCCUUUGUCUUGGUCCUUACUACAAAUAUCCGGUGCCAAUACAUGCCUUGAAUUUCAAGUUGCUUAGGGUACUAGAUGCUUUCCCAGUUCGAUUCUACAACUUCCCACUUGAAAUUCUUAAACUAGUUUGUUUGAGGUACCUUGCCCUAACUUGCAACCAAGACCUCCCUAUGUCCAUAUCCAAUCUUUUUCUCCUUCAAUACCUAAUUAUGGAACCGCAUUUGUACAUUAAAAAACGUGGAGUUGUGUCAUAUAUGCCAGCGGAAAUAUGGGACAUGCAAGAACUACAAUAUAUUGAGGUGAGGGGAAGAGACCUACCAGCCCCUACUUCUAAUGCUAGUUUGGACAAGCUCUCCAUUCUAUGUGGUGUGAGUGAAAAGAGUUGCACUAAAGAAAUUCUCCAGAGAAUCCACAAUUUAAAGAAAUUAGGUAUUCAAGUGGAAUUGGAGCCUGAUGAUGAUAGCAACCGAUUCAGUGGCUUGGAUUAUACCUUGGAAGAACUCCAUAAUUUGGAGACACUUUUCAUAAGUGUGCGGAAUUCUGUGACGAAGUAUGAAUGUAUGGUUCCUCUUUCAAUGUUUCCAUCAAGUCUGAAAAAGUUGGUUUUGUAUGGCACAAGGUGUCCAUGGAAACACAUGAAUGACAUUGGUUCGUUGCUACCAAAUCUCAUGCAACUCAAGUUACACAUGUAUGCUUGUCAAGAUCUAGAGUGGGAUAUAGAAUCAAGGUGUUUUUUGAAACUUAUGACACUUGUAAUUGAAGACACUGAUAUUGUGCGAUGGAGAGCUCAACAUGGACGCCUUCCUAUGCUUAACCUCCUAAGCAUACGGCACUGCUACAAAUUACAACAACUCGACUGGACUUCUGAUCCCUCAAUGGUCAGAACACUUAACAUUGAAUUAGUUGAGUGCAAUCCAUUAGCUGUCGCAUCUGCCAAGCAAUUGAAACCGGAAUCUCUCUUUAAAGUUCGUUGCCACUCUACCUUUUGAGAUGAGAAGUCAUAGCAAGACUCUUUAACUUUGUUAACUGCAGUUUUAGAUGUGGAGGUUGUAGGCUGUGGCCUUUACCCCGACUUUCUUUGCUGGGAUCACACAUGCCACUGUUGGCAUUCUUAGGUGAAACAUAUGGAUAGAGGCAAAUAUAGGCCUCUGUUGAUGAGAUUUACUUCACUGAUUGAAAGGUUGGAUAAUGAGAAGUGUAGGCCCUUUUGAUUUCUUGAUGUGUGUUUUUGGGGGAGUUUUAGGAAGCUGUUACCAAUGGGAGGAGUUUUGCUGCCAUGAAAGAUUAUCAAACGUUUUGCUAUUUCACUAUAUGUACAAAUCAUAAAGUUUGGUUAAAUUUUGACAUGUUCAAUUUUAAAUUAGCCAAAAGGCCAUAAAAUUUAACA